UACUCCUACGGGAGGCAGCAGUGAGGAAUAUUGGUCAAUGGGCGCAAGCCUGAACCAGCCAAGUAGCGUGAAGGAUGACUGCCCUAUGGGUUGUAAACUUCUUUUAUAAAGGAAUAAAGUCGGGCAUGGAUACCCGUUUGCAUGUACUUUAUGAAUAAGGAUCGGCUAACUCCGUGCCAGCGAGCCGCGGUAAU
rnacentral:rRNA from 1 species